ACGGUCCAGACUCCUACGGGAGGCAGCAGUGCGGAAUUUUAGAUAAUGGAGGGAACUCUGAUCUAGCGACGCCGCGUGCAGGAAGAAGGUCUUCGGAUUGUAAACUGCUGUGGUAAGGGAAAAAUGCUAUGUAGAGUGGAAAGCUACAUAGAGGGAUGGUACCUAACUAGAAAGCCCCGGCUAACUACGUGCCAGCAGCCGCGGUAA
rnacentral:rRNA from 1 species